CGUGCAGGCGGUCUAGCAAGUUGGAUGUGAAAGCUCCCGGCUUAACUGGGAAAGGUCGUUCAAUACUGUUGGGCUAGAGAAUGGGAGAGGGAGGUGGAAUUCCGGGUGUAGUGGUGAAAUGCGUAGAUAUCCGGAGGAACACCAGUGGCGAAAGCGGCCUCCUAGACCAUUUCUGACGCUAAGACGCGAAAGCUAGGGUAGCAAACG
rnacentral:rRNA from 1 species